rnacentral:rRNA from 1 species
GACGAACGCUGGCGGCGUGCUUAACACAUGCAAGUCGAGCGGUAAGGCCCUUUCGGGGGUACACGAGCGGCGAACGGGUGAGUAACACGUGGGUGACCUGCCCUUAGCUCUGGGAUAAGCCUGGGAAACUGGGUCUAAUACCGGAGUAUGACUCCAUGACGCAUGUUGUGGGGUGGGAAAGACCUUGUGCGGCUAGGGAGUGGGCCCGGCCGGCCGUAUCAGCUUGUUGGUGGGGUGGAUGGCC